rnacentral:lncRNA from 1 species
CUGGAAGCUAGGGAGGCUUUAGCUAGCUAAACUGAUCAGAAAUCUCUUUCACCGUUGUCAGAGAAGGAGGUUUGUUAAAGCAACAUCAGGACUCCAGGCUCAAGAGAGAAAAGCACCUCUGAAACCCUGAGCAACCAAAGCAGGCUCUGCUGGUAAAUGAAGAACCUCCACCAGUUAACAAAGAAGGUCACUCACAAUGCAGGUUACAUACAAAAACCUGGCACAAUACUGGCAAAAGGAGCAGCCCUUUAAGCGUCAUCACAGAUGUCCAAGUGUCCCCUGUUGCCUUUCUCAUAUGUCAGCAACAAACAGUGCCAUAUCAAUGGAUUAUUACCAGAAAAACACACAUAAGAAGCUAGGAGGCUGCUGUUGAUGUUGUAAAUGCAUGAAGAUUUCCUCUGAGAGGCAGAACAAAGAGCCAUACCUUGCAUUUUCUCUCAAAAUUAAUAUUCAAACUAGGAAACCUUCUUUCUCUGGAAGAAAUCAUGCAUUAUAGACCCUACUUAAAUGAAAAUAAGAAUGCUUAACUCUCUGAGCUCAGCAUUUCGUUUACAUGAUUAUUCUAUAGAAUUGUUUCUGUGCUCUUGUGAUUACUAAAAAGGUGCAUCAUGUUGUUGUAUUGUAAACAAGAAAAGAGAAAAAUGAAUCCUUGGAGUAACUCCAACAGAUUGUCAACUUUCUUGAGCUCCCCCAAAAAAGAACACUCAUGGUUCUUUCUAAAUCCUGAAGAGCUGUUCAUUCUUUUCUGUCUGCAUUUUACAUACAUCUCAGGAGAAAUAUUAUGAAUCUGUUUUAAUUUACAUAGGAUUUAAUGCCUUUGAAGAGUGCCAAAUUGAUAGGAUUUUGGACUGAAAUCCGUGUUUACAGAACAGGCUACGGUAAUCUCAGCAUAGUAAUGGCAGACCCUAGGGCAGUCUUUCACAAGACAACCUGAGCUGUGAUUCUGGCAGAGAUGAUAAGGAAAUGAAAGUUCUUUGUCUCAAUCUUGACUGCCCAUCUGAGUAUGUAUAUUUACUGUGGACUUAAUCUUUAGCCUUCUUGCAAGGUGUGUCCAAGGAAAGGAACUGGAAGCCAUUUAUGGUGAUGUUUCCUUCGCAUAAAGUGGACAGUAUGGCAGUAAAAUAAAUGAAUUACAAAUUUCA